UCCUGCUUUAUAAUCUCUUUUCUAUUACAUUUAAAAACAUUAUUUGUAGCUCUCUGUUUAUUCUUUCAUUUUCACUCUCCGGUUAUGUUACCGUUUACCGAUCCAAAGAUCUCCCACAAUGUUUUACUUUCAACGAUUUAUUUUCGUCCGUUUUCCUCCUAUUUCCAAGUUUAAAUUCGUAGUCGUAUAAAGUACCUAGCUAUAUAGUAUAAUGUGGAUCUCUCUGGACAAUAUUAGCUCAAACUCGAAAAAUAAAAACAAAUUGAAGUGUUUUGUUGAAUUUCGACAUGAAUUUCACCGUGUUAUUGAUAGAGGAGCGUGUUGUUUGGCUACGUACACCCUAACAAAUCCCGUCCUCCAAAU